CCUACGGGAGGCAGCAGUGGGGAAUUUUGGACAAUGGGCGAAAGCCUGAUCCAGCAAUGCCGCGUGAGUGAAGAAGGCCUUCGGGUUGUAAAGCUCUUUUGUCAGGGAAGAAACGGUUGUUCCUAAUACGAAUGGCUAAUGACGGUACCUGAAGAAUAAGCACCNUGCNAAGNUAUCGUGCCAGCAGCCGCGGUAAU
rnacentral:rRNA from 1 species